rnacentral:rRNA from 1 species
GACGAACCGUGCGAACGUUAUUCGGAAUCACUGGGCUUAAAGCGCGUGUAGGCGGGCCGGCACGUCCGGAGCUGAAAUCCCCCGGCUCAACCGGGGAAGUGGCACGGAUACGACCGGCCUGGAGGGGGGUAGGGGGCGCCGGAACUCACGGUGGAGCGGUGAAAUGCGUAGAGAUCGGAAAGAACACCAACGGCGAAAGCACUCUGCUGGGCCGACACUGACACUGAGAGACGAAAGCUAGGGGAGCAAACAGG